AUUGAACGCUGGCGGCAGGCCUAACACAUGCAAGUCGAGCGGUAGAGAGAAGCUUGCUUCUCUUGAGAGCGGCGGACGGGUGAGUAAUGCCUAGGAAUCUGCCUGGUAGUGGGGGAUAACGUUCGGAAACGGACGCUAAUACCGCAUACGUCCUACGGGAGAAAGCAGGGGACCUUCGGGCCUUGCGCUAUCAGAUGAGCCUAGGUCGGAUUAGCUAGUUGGUGAGGUAAUGGCUCACCAAGGCGACGAUCCGUAACUGGUCUGAGAGGAUGAUCAGUCACACUGGAACUGAGACACGGUCCAGACUCCUACGGGAGGCAGCAGUGGGGAAUAUUGGACAAUGGGCGAAAGCCUGAUCCAGCCAUGCCGCGUGUGUGAAGAAGGUCUUCGGAUUGUAAAGCACUUUAAGUUGGGAGGAAGGGCAGUUACCUAAUACGUGAUUGUUUUGACGUUACCGACAGAAUAAGCACCGGCUAACUCUGUGCCAGCAGCCGCGGUAA
rnacentral:rRNA from 1 species